rnacentral:rRNA from 1 species
UACGAAGGGGGGCUAGCGUUGCUCGGAUUGACUGGGCGUAAAGGGCGCGUAGGCGGUUUGUACAGUCAGACGUGAAAUUCCUGGGCUCAACCUGGGGGCUGCGUUUGAUACGUGCAGACUUGAGUUCGGAAGAGGGUCGUGGAAUUCCCAGUGUAGAGGUGAAAUUCGUAGAUAUUGGGAAGAACACCGGUGGCGAAGGCGGCGACCUGGGUAGAUACUGACGCUGAGGUGCGAAAGCGUGGGGAGCAAACAGG